AUUGAACGCUGGCGGCAGGCCUAACACAUGCAAGUCGRACGGUAGCACAGAGGAGCUUGCUCCUUGGGUGACGAGUGGCGGACGGGUGAGUAAUGUCUGGGGAUCUGCCCGAUAGAGGGGGAUAACCACUGGAAACGGUGGCUAAUACCGCAUAACGUCGCAAGACCAAAGAGGGGGACCUUCGGGCCUCUCACUAUCGGAUGAACCCAGAUGGGAUUAGCUAGUAGGCGGGGUAAUGGCCCACCUAGGCGACGAUCCCUAGCUGGUCUGAGAGGAUGACCAGCCACACUGGAACUGAGACACGGUCCAGACUCCUACGGGAGGCAGCAGUGGGGAAUAUUGCACAAUGGGCGCAAGCCUGAUGCAGCCAUGCCGCGUGUAUGAAGAAGGCCUUCGGGUUGUAAAGUACUUUCAGCGGGGAGGAAGGCGAYGSGGUUAAUAACCGYGUCGAUUGACGUUACCCGCAGAAGA
rnacentral:rRNA from 1 species